GCAGCGAGCGCGGGCGGGCGGCGGCCUCUUUCUCCGCGGGCUACGGAGCCGCUCGGAGGCGCCGGUGAAGCUGCGCCG
rnacentral:miRNA from 1 species